rnacentral:rRNA from 1 species
GUAACAAGGGUUUCCGUAGGUGAACCUGCGGAGGAUCAUUA